AUGGAUUUUGCCGUCUUGAAUUGGAAUGUGCGGGGAUUGAAUAACCCUGCGAAGAGACGGGCGGUGCAGUUGUUUGUUGCUGAGAAAAAUUGCAAGAUUGUCUGCCUGCAAGAAACAAAAGUUGGUAACAUGACUAGAGGUCUGGUGAUUGAAGCCUUGGGGCCGCGUUCUUCUGAUAAUUUCAUCUAUCUGCCAGCAAAUGGAUCCAGAGGAGGGAUACUAAUUGCU
rnacentral:rRNA from 1 species